GACGAACGCUGGCGGCGUGCUUAACACAUGCAAGUCGAACGGAAAGGCCCUGCUUUUGUGGGGUGCUCGAGUGGCGAACGGGUGAGUAACACGUGAGUAACCUGCCCUUGACUUUGGGAUAACUUCAGGAAACUGGGGCUAAUACCGGAUAGGAGCUCCUGCUGCAUGGUGGGGGUUGGAAAGUUUCGGCGGUUGGGGAUGGACUCGCGGCUUAUCAGCUUGUUGGUGGGGUAGUGGCUUACCAAGGCUUUGACGGGUAGCCGGCCUGAGAGGGUGACCGGCCACAAUGGGAAUGAGAUACGGCACAGACUCCUACGGGAGGCAGCAGUGGGGAAUAUUGCACAAUGGGCGGAAGCCUGAUGCAGAAACGCCGCGUGCGGGAUGACGGCCUUCGGGUUGUAAACCGCUUUCGCCUGUGACGAAGCGUGAGUGACGGUAAUGGGUAAAGAAGCACCGGCUAACUACGUG
rnacentral:rRNA from 1 species